rnacentral:rRNA from 1 species
GACGAACGCUGGCGGCGUGCUUAACACAUGCAAGUCGAACGGAAAGGCCCUGCUUUUGUGGGGUGCUCGAGUGGCGAACGGGUGAGUAACACGUGAGUAACCUGCCCUUGACUUUGGGAUAACUUCAGGAAACUGGGGCUAAUACCGGAUAGGAGCUCCUGCUGCAUGGUGGGGGUUGGUAAGUUUCGGCGGUUGGGGAUGGACUCGCGGCUUAUCAGCUUGUUGGUGGGGUAGUGGCUUACCAAGGCUUUGACGGGUAGCCGGCCUGAGAGGGUGACCGGGCACAUUGGGACUGAGAUACGGCCCAGACGCCUACGGGAGGCAGCAGUGGAGAAUAUUGCGCAAUGGGCGGAAGCCUGAUGCAGCAACGCCGCGUGCGGGAUGACGGCCUUCGGGUUGUAAACCGCUUUCGCCUGUGACGAAGCGUGAGUGACGGUAAUGGGUAAAGAAGCACCGGCUAACUACGUG